UGCGCAACAACUUCUACCUGGCAUACCUCUUCAGUCUUGUGUCAAUGCUUGUAUUGCAUUGAAUGCACGGUGGGUUUCUUGUGUUGCAUACCUAAUUUAAUGGUAUUGCUUGAUGUAUUGGUUUUCCUUUCGUUUUGCAUUGCCUAUGCGAUGUGAGAUGAACCUUGAAGCAGCCUUUGUGAUCCACUGAUUUGAUGUAUAUGCAUUGAUUUUGUGGCCCAUUGAGUGUUGCUCGGUCUCAUGGAUAUGGAACCUGGUGUGGGCAUGGAAUCUUAAUGGUUC
rnacentral:misc_RNA from 1 species